UGCGUAGGCGGCCAGAUCAGUCAGGCGUGAAAGUUUUCGGCUUAACCGGAAAAUUGCGUUUGAUACUGUUUGGCUAGAAUCAGGAUGAGGUUGGCGGAAUGUGGCAUGUAGCGGUGAAAUGCAUAGAUAUGCCAUAGAACACCGAUUGCGAAGGCAGCCGGCUGGACCUGAAUUGACGCUGAGGCACGAAAGCGUGGGGAGCGAACAGGAUUAGAUACCCUGGUAGUCC
rnacentral:rRNA from 1 species